UCGCGACCGCGCGCAACGGUGGCGCGUGCACCGUGAAUUUGUCCUCGAUGGCCAAACGAUGCGCCCGCUUGACUGAGAACUCCGUAAGCACUGUGGAAAGGAACUGUCCUGAGGCUGGAACACAACGGAGACGGAACACAACAGAAGCCUUGUGCUCCUUGGCUCCACUGUGCGAAAUACGAUACGACGAUUCAGCAUCAAAGCAGAGCCAAGCGCACGAUACCCACAAAUGCUCGAGAAUUCACGACCUCAGUUCGCUGCGAGUGCAGGCCUUCUCCGCUGUAAUGACGUCCGUAAAAGGUUGAGACUUGCUGUGCGGCAGAAUAACUCGCUACUUUUUGUUUUCACUUCUGCCCGCGCGUUCGCUGAACACGGCUGGACACUUUGCCGGGGUGUAGGAGAAGCCGUGCGGAAGGAAGGGCAUCAUUGUGGACUAAAUAACAACGUCAUGAGCGGGUGAGUUGGAAAACCGAGAAGGGCCUUGCUAACGGACUCUGUAGCGGACAGAUGUCACAAGACCAACAACGUCUUGACUGUACUUCGGAACUCCGUUCCAAUUAAUCGUCCUGCGAAUAAACCUGUCGUCGAAUGACAAACACGCGGUCCAAUUUCAUCUUCCGAGCACAACGGAGACGGCCGGCGACGGACAGCAAGCAGUGAGAUAAGUGGAAAGAAGAACCAACAUAAACAUCUGCAACUUUUACUGCGUCCUAAUUUUAACCUGCGCUCUCGGGCUAUGCCGGAAGCAGCCUUCAGCUGCACGAUUUCUAUCUGUUUCAAGAGUAUCCUGAAAUGCUCAACUUUUUAUCAAAUGUGCAUUAGGUGCAUUGCGUUCACACCAGGUACAUACCGUACCGUACAUACGUACCAGGUCUGUAAGAGUUGUACUUUUUAGAAACCUCGCAAAUAUUGUGCAUUUCCAACUCAGUGCAAUAGCCACCCGACAGAGACUCGGGGAAGGCACGUUGGACGGGGGACACUUGACACCUCAGGGGGUCUUCGCGACCAGAUGCUCGCUGGCAAUAAAUCAGUAGAGUGGGCCAAGGAAGAUGCACUGUCCAAAGUUGCAUGGUGCACGGAUUGACAGCUUGAUCCGUUACCCAUAAAUACCGAGUAGUGGGCGGACAAUUAGGAGGUGCCUGGUUCGGUCUAAAUUCAAACUAGGCCAAUCAUGAGUUGGAGACGUUUGAACCGGGCUUCUGGGAUUGGUGUUUGCUGGCGGGGGGGGUUGUGUCUCGGACACACGAAAAUCUGGGUGUGGAAGCCGCAACGACUUGAUGAAGACGAGGCGAAAGCCCCGUGACUUCAGUCGCUAUAGUAUUCUCUUGUAUAUAGUUAUGUAAAUGACUAUGUAAAUAAAGCCCAGUUAUUCAAGAGAUAAACUGAUGUUCUAAGGCUGGAACUACAUAGAAGGGGACAGAUACAAACAAAGCCUCAAAUUGCCUAAGAAAUCAACGAUGAAAGAUGAGAGUCACUGAAAAGGUUAGCCAGCUGUAGGGAUCGAACAGGCAAUUUGAGGCUUUGUUUGUAUCUGUCCCCUUCUAUGUAGUUCCAGCCUCAGAACAUCAGUUUAUCUCUUGUUCAACAGGUGCCGCUUGCGUCGAUUUCCGUCGUAUGAAUGUGUGUAUGAGUGAGCAAAAAUGUAAGAGUGAAAGGAGGGUGAGUGAGAGUGAGUGGCUGGUUUGUCGUCCCCUCAGAUGACGCACCCCGAAAGUCGCUGGAGAAGCGUGUUAGCUUAGCUCAAUUGGUAGAGCCCUGGACCGGCAAUCCAGAAGAUGUGGGUUCGAUCCCUACAGCUGGCUAACCUUUUCAGUGACUUCCAUCUUUCAUCCCAGUUAUUGUUCGAGAAUACCGCCUGUCGGACGUCUCUUGGGAAUAUCUCCGACCUGUGAGCUACAUCAACGGACCAUCUUCCAGCAACAACGGAAGAAACUUUACUAGGUCCAAGAAGGACAUUCAUACAGAAGAAUGUACCUCGAAGACACAUCACCACCAAUGGGGUAGAGUAUCGACCCUGGCGAUAAAACCCCUCCAUUCAUCAUCUCAAAAUUGCUUUUUAGUAAAAAUAAAAUAAGUUUUUUUUUUUUUUUCAU